CACACCAUGGUCUCAAGAGGGAAAAUGAGUGCUCUAUGGAUUGAACAGAAAAGGUGAAUCAAAACUCCAACCAUCUGUAUGAGGGUCUGGAUGGAUAAAGGAUGCCCACUGGAGCUGGAAAUGAUGGAUCAGGUGGAUCCACACUUGAACCAUCUGUAUGAUGAUCUGCACCCACUGGAUCUGUAAAUGGUGGUGCAGAAUUCUGGCCUGGUGUUUGGUCCCCCCUUUCUCUGGCUUGUGUCUCCAUCAUCAUUACACUCUUGUCAGUGUAAUAGUAUCGUCGUCUGCGUACCAGGACUUUGUUACUCAGCUGUCCCUUCUCCUU